rnacentral:rRNA from 1 species
CCUACGGGGGGCAGCAGUAGGGAAUAUUGCUCAAUGGGGGAAACCCUGAAGCAGCAACGCCGCGUGGAGGAUGAAGGUUUUCGGAUUGUAAACUCCUGUUGUUAGAGAAGAGAAUGACGGUAUCUAACGAAUAAUCACCGGCCAAAUCCGUGCCAGCAGCCGCGGUAACACGGAGGGUGCAAGCGUUAGUCGGAAUAACUGGGCGUAAGGAGCGCGUAGGCGGGAUAGCAAGUCAGAUGUGAAAUCCUAUGGCUUAACCGUAGAACUGCAUUUGAAACUGUUAUUCUAGAGUGUGGGAGAGGUAGGUGGAAUUCUUGGUGUAGGGGUCAAAUCCGUAGAGAUCAGGAGGAAUACUCAUUGCGAAGGCGGCCUGCUAGAACAUAACUGACGCUGAUGCGCGAAAGCGUGGGGAGCAAACAGGAUUAGAUACCCGGGUAGUC